GCCCAGCCCAGCUGCUCAGAAUUUAUAAACCAGGCCUUUGAAUUGCAAUCGAACUGCAUCAGACAGGCAGGGGGAGCAAGAUGGAAUUACAGACCCAGGUCCUCAUAUUUCUGUUGCUUUGGGUACAUGGUAUUUGUGGGGACAUUGUGAUGACCCAGUCUCCUUCCUUUUUGGCUGUGUCAGCAAGAGAGAAGGUCACUAUGAGCUGCAAGUCCAGUCAGAGUCUUUUAUGGAGUAAAGACCAGAAGAACUACAUGGCCUGGUACCAGCAGAAACCAGGACAGUCUCCUAAACUGCUGAUCUACUAUGCAUCCACUAGAGCAUCUGGGGUUCCUGAUCGCUUCACAGGCAGUGGAUCUGGGACAGAUUUCACUCUGACCAUCAGCAGAGUGCAGGCUGAAGACCUGGCAGAUUAUUACUGUCAGCAGAGUUAUGAUACUCCUCCCACAGUGCUUCAGCCUCCUACAGAAACUUCCUUUAAAAUUUAA